rnacentral:lncRNA from 1 species
CGCGAGGCCGAGCUGAUGGCCGAGCAGUGCACCGGGCAGAUGAGUUCAAUGUGACGGAGAAACCCACAGCCGUCGCACAGAGACACUCUCCUUUCUCCUCAGGAAGAAACUGGUGCCUGCUCCACAGUUUGUCAUCACGGUCCUGGUCUGAUAUGCUCCAUUUCGCCUCCUCUUGAUCAAUGAGAUGGAUAUGUACGUUUUACACGUACGUCACAAGAAAUCGUCGAAGAAUCCUUGAACACUACAGAUCCAGUCAUGGUCACUAUGGAAGAAGACUAGCUCUCCCCUGCAUUUACAGCGAUUGUGUGUGCUAUUUCCCAUCACAAAAGGCUCUCCAAACACAUAAUUCCAACCAAAGAAAAGAGGAUGUCAUUCUGAGGGGCCUGCCGUAUUUCCUCCGUGAAGAUCCUUCAAAGUUCCUCAGGACUGCAGAGCCCACAGACAUGGAGGACAGCAUGACUAGGGGAAUGAAUGUCGGCAUUGUCGUAGUCAAACAAGGAGAGGAUCUUCUUGACAUAUCGGUGGUCCUAGAGGAACAGAUCAUUCUGCAUGGAAUCAAGGACUACUCACAUGCAGUCGUUAUGUUAAUGGGGCUGCUAUAUGCACUGAACAUUGACUACCCGAAGGAGCUGCAAUACACCUUCGAAGUCAUUCAGAAGGUUCUCAUGAACAUCGGCAGUGAGAACUGCUCCAGGGUUCAUGGACUGAGGAAUAGACUUUUUCGUAAAACUGUGUAG